rnacentral:rRNA from 1 species
UUAAAUAAAGAGUGUAAGGGAAAAGCUUUACAUUCAAUAACUGACAUAAAAUGAAUAAACAAUUUGUUAUCUGUAAAUUAGGUUUUUUAGUGGCCAUAUUUUUAAAGUGUUUUAACUAAUAAGGUUAAAAAAUUAUUAAGUUUUAUUCUUUAAGUUUAGUAGGAUAUUUUUUGUACCAAAAAAAGAUUAGAGAUAGUGGGGGCAUUAGUAGAGUAUAAAAUAUUAAGUUUAAAAUAUUUGAUUCAUUAGAAUUUUUUAGUUUGGACAGGGGAAAUUAAAGGAAUUCGGCAAAUUUUUUCCUUGCCUGUUUAACAAAAACAU